rnacentral:rRNA from 1 species
AGAGUUUGAUCCUGGCUCAGAACGAACGCUGGCGGCAGGCCUAACACAUGCAAGUCGAGCGCCCGCAAGGGAGCGGCAGACGGGUGAGUAACGCGUGGGAACGUGCCCUUUGGUUCGGAAUAUUCCCGGGAAACUGGGAGCAAAACCGGAUAAGCCCUUCGGGGGAAAGUUUACGCCAAAGGAUCGGCCCGCGUUAGAUUAGGUAGUUGGUGGGGUAACGGCCUACCAAGCCUACGAUCUAUAGCUGAUCUGAGAGGAUGAUCAGCCACACUGGGACUGAGACACGGCCCAGACUCCUACGGGAGGCAGCAGUGGGGAAUCUUGGACAAUGGGCGCAAGCCUGAUCCAGCCAUGCCGCGUGGAUGACUGAAGGCCCUAGGGUUGUAAAGUCCUUUCGACGGGGACGAUAAUGACGGUACCCGUAGAAGAAGCCCCGGCUAACUUCGUGCCAGCAGCCGCGGUAAUACGAAGGGGGCUAGCGUUGUUCGGAUUUACUGGGCGUAAAGGGCGCGUAGGCGGAUUUUUAAGUCGGGGGUGAAAUCCCGGAGCUCAACUCCGGAACUGCCUUCGAUACUGGAAGUCUGGAGCACGGUAGAGGUGAGUGGAAUUCCGAGUGUAGAGGUGAAAUUCGUAGAUAUUCGGAGGAACACCAGUGGCGAAGGCGGCUCACUGGACCGUUGCUGACGCUGAGGCGCGAAAGCGUGGGGAGCAAACAGGAUUAGAUACCCCGGUA